rnacentral:snRNA from 1 species
AUACCUUUCUCGGCCUUUUGGCUAAGAUCAAGUGUAGUAUCUGUUCUUAUCAGUUUAAUAUCUGAUACGUGGGCGAAUGGCUCACAUGAUAUUAAAUUAAUUUUUUUAGGAAGAGGUUCCACCAUAAUAGAUUGCUAUUGGGGCUCUCAAGUGUCGCCCAAGCGUUGCAAUAUUGCAUGGGCUUGGCACACUCCAC